AUCACAUUAUGUAAUAUGCCUCAGGCAGUGGCAGAAACCUAGGCUGAAAUAACCAACACUACUUGCCAAACACUUUAGAAAGAUUAUGUUUCUUCUCCAUUACAGAAGUGGAACAUAUGGUUCAGUUUGCACCAAGAUCCUCCCAGGAAAGUGAAGCAGAGAAAAUGGAGGUCGAAACUAUUCUCCUCAUUAAACUACCUGCCCUCUGUAAUGUAGCUCUUCUGUGCUGCAGAAAUUGAUACUACACAAGAAAAGAAAUGAUGGGAGAAUAGGGAAGAAGAGAAGAACUGGCCAGGUAGCAACAUAUAAGAGGCCAAGGGCCAGGCGCAGUGGCUCAUGCUUGUAAUCCAAACACUUUGGGAGGCCAAGGCGGGCAGAUCACCUGAGGUUGGGAGUUUGAGACCAGCCUGACCAACAUGGGGAAACCCCAUCUCUACCAAAAAUACAAAAUUAGCCAGGCGUGGUGGCGCAUGCCUGUAAUCCCAGCUACUCAGGAGGCUGAGGCAGGAGAAUCACUUGAACCCAGGAGGCAGAGAUUGCAGUGAGCCGAGAUUGCACCAUUGCACUCCAGCCUGGGUAACAAGAGUGAAACUCCGUCUCAAAAAAAAAAAAAAAAAAAGCCAAGUAGAAACAUAUAAUGAACCUGAGAGAAAAAGAAGAAAGAAAAUAGAAGCCAUAUGGGCUAGAGUAGUAUGAAGAGAGAUAUUUGGGUAGUGAAGAUAACUGCAAUAUAGAUGGAUGGAGUUUUUUAUUAGAUGGAGCUUUAUCAUUCAAACACCAGAAUUCCCUGGACACAUGGGUCCAGAAAUCAAAUCCUAGCACUUUGGGGACCAAGGCGGUUGGAUUGCUUGUGUACAGGAGUUCAAGACCAGCCUGGGCAAUAUGAGGACAUCCUGUCUUUACAAAAGAUUAAAAAAUUAGCUGAGCAUGGUAGCAUGUGCCUGUAGUCCCAGCUACUCAGAAGCUGAAGUGGGAGAAUCGCUUGAGCCUGGGAAGCAGAGAUUACCGUGGGUCGAGAUUGCACCACUGCACUCCAGCCUGGGUGAUAGAGUGAUAAAAUUUUGAAAUAAUCCUGGCAUAAAAAAAAAAAAACAGAACUGGUAUGGAUUUAGAAUGAUGAUACAAAAGAGCAAAGGUCAAUCAGGGUUCUCCGAAUUAGAAAGUCAAAGAACCAUUAAGAAGAUGACAAUGAAAUGAAUUCAGAAGGACAAAGUUGAAGAAGAUACCUGUUUAUAAAGUGGAUAUACCAGCCAUAGAACUAAACAAACAGAGACCUACAUAGUCUAUGACAUUAAAGAAGCUAAAAUAUCCCUUUAUUAAGUGUUGAAAUAGAAAAGUCUUUACCUGCCCAUUGGCACACACAUUCUCACAUCUCCACACUUGAUUUCUUAAGAAAUCAAAGUCACUGUGAGAAGUAAGAAGAGUUCCAAGUUCACCUAUCAUGAAUAAGUGAGGGCUUCUUCCCAUAUCUCAGUGGUCAAAAUCAAAUCCUCACAAGGGAAAGGGGUGCUAACAGGGGACUUAAAAUUGGUUACAUAUUUGCUUCGGUUUGGGCAAAGAACAUCUUCUUGUGGUAAACAGCUAUUAAUAUUGUUAUAAAGUAAACGGUUUAAAUUCCCUUAUGAAGCUACUAUUUACAGACAUGUGGAAAGUAAAGGAAAUAAAUCGUAAGUCCCCCUCCCCAGCCUACAGUUUGAGAGGUGGAACUGUGAUGAAUCUAAUAAGCCUUUGCUUGGCAGCCUUUCUGGAAUUUUUCAAGAUCAAUUAUGCAGCACUUGCCAAGCCCUCCUCCUCUCUUGCCCCCAGUAAAAGAACAAAAAGAAAGGGGGUCAAUGUGUAAUAAAUUGUCAAUAAAAGGGCCAUCUGCAAGUCCCGUUUAAAUAUUGGAUUUGCCUUUGAAGGCAUCUAUGAAUAUUGACCAGGGUAAAUGUGUUAAAAGGUUGAAAUUUUUAACUUAUAAAUUUUCCCAGCCAUUUUACCUCGUUAAAUAAAGAGAAAAAGAAUGUC